rnacentral:tRNA from 1 species
GCACUAGUAGCUCAGCGCGAGAGCACCGGUUUUGUAAACCGGCGGCCGGAGGUUAAACCCCUCCCUUUUGCU